UACGUAUGGGGCGAGCGUUGUUCGGAAUUAUUGGGUGUAAAGGGCGUCUAGGCGGGAAAUUAAGUUAUAUGUGAAAGGCGUGGGCUUAACCCACGAAUUGCAUCUAAAACUGGUUUUCUUGAGUUCGGAAGAGGAGAGCGGAAUUCUUGGUGUAGCGGUGAAAUGCGUAGAUAUCAAGAAGAACACCAGUGGCGAAGGCGGCUCUCUGGCCUAGAACUGACGCUGAAGCGCGAAAGCGUGGGUAGCGAACGGGAUUAGAUACCCGGGUAGUCCCUGAGCGGG
rnacentral:rRNA from 1 species